CCCCCCCCGUCCUCCCCCCCCAGCUCCCAGUAUUGUCUUCCGGUUGCUAGACGACGCCGCUUUCCAGUACAUUAUUCGGAAUAUAAAAACUAAAAUGGGAUGUGUCACACGGCACCUUCGCAUCUCCUAACGGCGGGUCCCACGGCUGCUGACGCAGACGGAAGAGAAACUCGGAGGAGAUACCGUCCCAGAUGUAAAGGGGUGAACUCUCUCUUCCUCUGACCUCGACAGAAGUCCGAGGAGGAAGACUCAACUCUCUCUUAUCUAAAGGCCCAGUGCCCACAGCGGCGCUCAGCGUAUCCACGCCGCGAGAGUUACUGGGCGUUCGCGGCUCGCCUGCGAUUGAGGAAUUCUACGUUCCUCAAGCUGAAGGCCGCUUCGUGCCUCCUGGGCCCUCGGAGAGAUCGGAGGAGUUGGGCCAAGGCCUCCCUCCCUCCCUCCUCCUCCUCACCGCCCUUUCGAGGCUGUAUAUUCUGCUUCCCCGACAGACGCAGGAAAGUGGGGUCGUUCUAGAGGGAGACGGAGCCUUCCCCGAUUUAGGAACACAGGUGUCGGCCCCGCCGGGGCCAAAGGCUCCCGUCUCUAGGAGCUCCUAGGAGGAAAUUCAUCUGAAAUGUGCUCACCCUCCCUGGUGGGGAACGGGGCUGUGGGCGAGGCAGCCCAUGCGGGCAGGCGGCCCUUACACAGGCUUUCCAGAAAGAGCUGGAAAGCAGAUACCCGAGCCACAGGAAAAAGAAUGACCUCUUGCAGCCAAGAGCCUGACUGGAAAGUCCGCGUAAAGGACACCUGGAGGAAGUGGGGGGCUCCAUCACCUCCUCCGCCUGCCCGUAACCCUUUCUUCCUUACUCGGCCGCCCCGCACAUCCGCCUUCCCGGAGGCUCACCCCAUCUUUGCCGUUCGAAAGCUCACUGGGUUCUCCCAACACAUCAGAGCUUUUUUUUUUUUUCCUUUUCCCUUUUUCUUUUCUUUUCUUUUCU